rnacentral:rRNA from 1 species
GACGAAGGUGGCGAGCGUUGUUCGGUGUCACUGGGCUUAAAGAGUAUGUAGGCGGGAAGGUAAGCGUUUUGUGAAAUCCCUCGGCUUAACCGGGGAAUUGCUUGGCGAACUUCCUUUCUUGAGGCAAGUAGGGGUGCGCGGAACUCUUGGUGGAGCGGUGGAAUGCGUAGAUAUCAAGAGGAACGCCGAUGGUGAAAACAGUGCACUGGGCUUGUCCUGACGCUGAGAUACGAAAGCGUGGGUAGCGAACGGGAUUAGAUACCCCUGUA